ACGUGGGGCGCAAGCGUUGUCCGGAUUUAUUGGGCGUGAAGAGCUCGUAGGCGGCUUGUCGCGUCGACUGUGAAAACCUGCGGCUCAACCGUAUGGUCUGCAGUCGAUACGGGCAGGCUAGAGUUCGGUAGGGGAGACUGGAAUUCCUGGUGUAGCGGUGAAAUGCGCAGAUAUCAGGAGGAACACCGGUGGCGAAGGCGGGUCUCUGGGCUAUAACUGACGCUCAUGCACGAAAGCGUGGGGAGCAAACAGGA
rnacentral:rRNA from 1 species